GGUCGUCUCGACAUGCAUAUCAAGUUAUGAAUAAAAACUCAUAAUGAAAUUGCAUUUAGGCCAACAAUUUAGGGUCAUCAAGGGAGAUAUAUUCAAUUUUCACAUCUAUGGUCACCAAGGCACAAAACCAUCAAUCCAAUUUACCAUUAUGAAAAAACAUUGCAUAGUCAUUGCAUCUAGGGUCAACUCACCUUGCAUUUAUGAAUAAGCAUUCAUAUUGAAAUUGCAUUCAGACCAACAAUUUAGGGACAUCGAGCGACAUAUACUCACAAAGAGCUUCACCAACAUCCACUCCAAAAAGAAGGGCAAUCCAUUCUAUCUUUGAAAACACAAAUUGACCAAGUUCAUCACAGAUUCAUAUUCCAGUGUCAAGUCUGUUUAAAUUUGACGAAAAGGAUGCAUCAAUAUUACAUUUGAAUCGUCCCAGAGUCGGCCUUUUCCAAUAAACAGCAGCAGAAUCUAUUUGUGCCGCGGUCGCAUUAUGCAAAGCACCAAGUGGUAUCAGAGAUUUGAUACAGGCGAACCUGCAAAAUCUGAAAGGAUUUGCCGAGUCAUUGAAGGUCCAAUCAAGAAGCUUAAAAUUCUUUUCUAUUUCAACAUUAAUAAUGAAAUUGCAUUUAGGCCAACAAUUUAGGGGUUUGAGGCUCAAAUAUCAAAUUUUGCAUUCAAACUCAUCAUGAGACAUAUGCUCAAUUUCGCAUCUAAGGUAACCAAAAGCACACUACCAUCAUGCCAAUUUAUCACUAUUAAGAAAACAUCAUAGAGUCACUGUAUCAAGAGUGGUCUCAACAUGCAUAUCAAGUUAUGAAUAAAAAUUCAUAAUAAAAUUGAAUCUAGGGUCAUCAAAGGACAUAUGUUCAAUUUUCGCAUCUAAGGUCACUCAACGUGAAAUCAUCAUCCCAAUUUACUAUUACGAAAAAGCAUAGUAUAGCCAUCGUUUCAAGGGUCACAUAUUCAAGUUAGGGACACAGAGGGACAUAUCUUCAAGUUAGUCAUCUCGACUUGCAUUUAAAGUUAUGAAUAAGCAUUCACAUUGAAAUUCCAUUCAGACAAUCAAUCUAGGGACAUCAAGGGACAUAUACUCAAUUUCGCAUCAAAGGCACGAAGGCACACAACCCUCUUCACAAUAUACCGUAAUAAGAAAAUCAUUAUCAACUUGCAUUUUGAAUAAACAUUCAUAUUUCAAAUUACAUUUAGACCCUCAAAAUUUUCAUGUAUACCAUCCUGAUUUCAUAUGAAUAAAGAAUUCAUAUUGUAAGCCACAUAUUUGGUCAAAAAAUUCAUCUCAUUGGGUCAUCCAAACACAAUAUCCCAUGACUUGUCUUAAGAAUUUUUUUAGCAACAACACAAUUUCUUAGGCCAAAUUACCUUCUUAGGUAUGAAAAAUCAAGAUUCGCCAAUUUACCACACUCUUGGAUGAUACAAAAAACUACCCAAAACAACAGCUAUGUCAAACAAUAGUUUGAAGAAUCUGUUACUUCAUGA
rnacentral:lncRNA from 1 species